AUCUAAACCGAAGAAGCAAACUGAGCAAUGGUUCACUGUGGAUGCGUUCCAGUACGUAGAGAAUCGCAAGGGUAAUCUCAAUCUUUUCUACCAAGGAUACGAGUAUUUACGGAGACGUGUUGCUGACCAAGCAACCAUGUGGGAAUGUAACAAGAAGAGAACCUGCGGGGCACGAGCCGUAACCCGGAAUGGCAAUCAAAUCAAGCUUAACAAGUUUCAACACAAUCAUCCGCAUUCGCGGCUGGCACGUGGUCCGGUUAUUGUACCCGCCGUUAAUCCGGUGCCGAUCAUGUACAAGGACGAGCCUCUGGAUUUGAAUGCUCUUGACGAGGCGAUUUCGUAGAGUGCUUAGUAACAAUUAUAUCUGUCAAAGCAUGCUGUAUUAUUAUAAUCUAGUACGUUCUAAAUUUGGGUUAACAACAAACAAAUAAAUCAAACAUUCCGUCUGAAAUCUAGUACUUCAUUUCAACCAGUACACCAACCUUUGAGAACGUCACUAAUCAAUUUCCUGAUUUCCAUUCCAGAUUUCUACGUUCGGUACGUGACCGGUUUCAGGGGCAGUCGCAAACUGAAGGUGGGCGAGUUCAGCUUUACCAAAAACAAGGAGUGUGCAAACAAAACGUACUGGUCCUGCGCCAGGGCUGGCAUGAACAAAUGCAAAGCGCGGGUGCUGACCUAUACGCUGAAAAAUGGCGAAGAGAAUCUGGUGGUACGCUAUCCCACGCAUAAUCACGGGCCGUUCUAGUACUGCACUGUAUGAUAACAUUAGCCAAUGGAAGCAAGCAUUAAGAUUAUGGAAUCAAACUGAUUUUGCACAACAUAUUUGCUUGAAGGAUUCCUGUGGCUGGUAGAACGAUGAUUUCCAUUCUCGAUCAUGAACUAUUAUAUCCAAUCAAUGAUCUUUUUAGCGGAAUAUGAAAACUGGUAUAAUUAACCACACAUUAAGUUGAAAAAAAAAACAGAAAAUUCGAUAAAUGCAUUAAGUAAAUAACUAUCUUGUUACUAUUAUUGUUAAAAUAUUAUUAAGUUGACUCGCAUGAACAUUAUAAUCAUGAACUAGUACUGCAUGCUUAACACUUUAUUGACAAAAGGUGUUAUUUCAUGAUUCAUGGAACACGUGUGUAUGGAACUAUGUACUACAUAGUCGUGUGUGAUAAUCUAGUACUUCAUCAUAUGCUUUUUCGCUUCAAUCCCGUUACAGCCUCGCUGAGUACGAGUUUCAUGCAGCAAUUUCAACCUCAAACACUCCUCUCGUCGCCUCAGUUCACCUUUAAAACAUCCCAACGGAGCGGCCGGCAUCUGCUGGUGGUAAAUGGGGUAACAUUCUUCCGGAAUCGCCAUCGCAACAACAAGCAGUACUGGAAGUGCAACCAGUACUACAAGUGCAAGUGUCCGUGCAUUGUCGUGAUCGAUGAGAUCAACUCGCGCAUGAACGUGAAGCAUGUUCACAACCACGAUACGUCGUCGAGUGCCGCCGGUGGUGGUGCUAGUAAAAGAAAUAGUCUUCUUCCGCCGAUGUUAGAUCCAAGUACUUCGGCCUUGGCGGGGUCAUUUCUAAACGAUAGCUUACUGGUUGGAAGUAACAGCGCACUGGUUGCCGCUGCUUCAUUUGCCCAAACUGUGCAAUCUAGAGGGUUUAUGAAUAAAAGAUAAUAAAAUGAGUAUUACGAAAUGUGAUUUUUUGCUACAGUGCAUCCAAUCUAUUCUUAACAGAAGACGCUCCAAAGUCUACGCAAAUAACCUGGAGCAGGUGUCGGACAUGGAGGUAGCCCGGUUCGGACUAAGUCAACGCAAGGCCAAGAAGCUGCUCUAUCGGGGGUUCGAGUACGUCAAAGAUCGAGACUUCCCCGACUCGACUAAUUGGCGGUGUGCUUUGUUCCGGCAUCAGAAAUGCCGCGCUCGUGCGAUAACCACUGUCAUCGAAGGCGUUACCUACGUAAGGCUGACCAACGACCAACACAAUCAUGAUUUACAAAUGUAUCGCAAGGCUUCGCUACUAAUGCCAAGGGAGGGGCAAUGAAUAGGCGGGAGGCAGUUCUGCUGAAUAGGAUUUGACAAAUUCUGUAAAUCCCUCUAGUACUUACAAUAUCACGCUGUAAUGGACAAAUAUAUUGUUCACUACUCAUUUGGAUGUUUCAGUAACUACUGGAAUUUAAGCUAAGUUAAACAAUAAUUACACAUUGUAUAUUUAUUUGUUGCAGGUUGGAACACGAACACACGGAGUGCUGCUAGCCACAGAAGGAAGAACAAGUCCAGAUUUGUAGGUAGGUCAAUGUACAGUGAUCACUGUUUCAAAAUUAGCAUCGAAUGAUCAGACUUUUAAAACUAUUUAACUAUUUGACGCAUUGGAAGAAUGUUCUGUCACACACACUUUAACUCAAGUAACAAUUUUUAGUCAAAUAGACUUGAUGAGGUUCUAAGAGCCAUCAGGUUCUAAGAGCAAUUAUAAUAAUUAAAAGGAUGAGGUUUUAUGAUGGUUCUCAAAGCCUUUACAGGACUAAUAAGCCAUCAAAUUGUAACUUGAGACACACUUUUCAUUCAACAAACAAAUUAUAUGUACAAUUCUGCAUAUUAUUCGCCACA